rnacentral:rRNA from 1 species
UACGUAGGGUCCGAGCGUUGUCCGGAAUUACUGGGCGUAAAGAGCUCGUAGGUGGUUUGUCGCGUUGUUCGUGAAAACUCACAGCUUAACUGUGGGCGUGCGGGCGAUACGGGCAGACUAGAGUACUGCAGGGGAGACUGGAAUUCCUGGUGUAGCGGUGGAAUGCGCAGAUAUCAGGAGGAACACCGAUGGCGAAGGCGGCUCUCUGGGACGGUACUGACGCUGAGACGCGAAAGCGUGGGGAGCGAACAGG